rfam:Triticum aestivum genome assembly, contig: Triticum_aestivum_CS42_TGACv1_scaffold_224530_3B
UAUGUACUCCCUCCGUUCCGAAUUACCUGUCGAAGGUAUGGAUGUAUCUAGAUGUAUUUUAGUUCUAGAUACAUCUAUUUCUGCGACAAGUAAUUUAGAACGGAGGGAGUAGGAU